AAGGCUCCUUCGGGAGUACACGAGCGGCGAACGGGUGAGUAACACGUGAGCAAUCUGCCCUUCACUUCGGGAUAACUCCGGGAAACCGGUGCUAAUACCGAAUACGACCACUUCAGGCAUCUGAUGGUGGUGGAAAGUUCCGGCGGUGAAGGAUGAGCUCGCGGCCUAUCAGCUUGUUGGUGGGGUAACGGCCCACCAAGGCGACGACGGGUAGCCGGCCUGAGAGGGUGACCGGCCACACUGGGACUGAGACACGGCCCAGACUCCUACGGGAGGCAGCAGUGGGGAAUAUUGGACAAUGGGCGAAAGCCUGAUCCAGCAACGCCGCGUGAGGGAUGACGGCCUUCGGGUUGUAAACCUCUUUCAGUAGGGACGAAGCGAAAGUGACGGUACCUACAGAAGAAGCACCGGCCAACUACGUGCCAGCAGCCGCGGUAAUACGUAGGGUGCGAGCGUUGUCCGGAAUUAUUGGGCGUAAAGGGCUCGUAGGCGGUUUGUCGCGUCGGGAGUGAAAACUCAGGGCUUAACCCUGAGCCUGCUUCCGAUACGGGCAGACUAGAGGUAUGCAGGGGAGAACGGAAUUCCUGGUGUAGCGGUGAAAUGCGCAGAUAUCAGGAGGAACACCGGUGGCGAAGGCGGUUCUCUGGGCAUUACCUGACGCUGAGGAGCGAAAGUGUGGGGAGCGAACAGGAUUAGAUACCCUGGUAGUCCACACCGUAAACGUUGGGCGCUAGGUGUGGGACUCAUUCCACGAGUUCCGUGCCGCAGCUAACGCAUUAAGCGCCCCGCC
rnacentral:rRNA from 1 species